AGAGUGAACGCUGGCGGCGUGCUUAACACAUGCAAGUCGAACGAGAACGGAUUUUAGCUUGCUAAAAUUGUCAGCUAAGUGGCGCACGGGUGAGUAAUAUAUAGGUAACAUGCCCCAAAGAAGAGGAUAACGUUUGGAAACGAACGCUAAUACUCUAUAUGCCUUUAAGUCAUAAGACUGCAAGGGAAAUAUUUAUAGCUUUGGGAUUGGCCUGUACGGUAUCAGCUAGUUGGUGAGGUAAGAGCUCACCAAGGCAAUGACACCUAACUGGUUUGAGAGGAUGAUCAGUCACACUGGAACUGAGACACGGUCCAGACUCCUACGGGAGGCAGCAGUGGGGAAUAUUGCACAAUGGACGAAAGUCUGAUGCAGCAACGCCGCGUGGAGGAUGACACAUUUCGGUGCGUAAACUCCUUUUAUAUGGGAAGAUAAUGACGGUACCAUAUGAAUAAGCACCGGCUAACUCCGUGCCAGCAGCCGCGGUAAUACGGAGGGUGCAAGCGUUACUCGGAAUCACUGGGCGUAAAGAGCAUGUAGGCGGUUAUUUAAGUCAGAAGUGAAAUCCAAUAGCUCAACUAUUGAACUGCUUUUGAAACUGAAUAACUAGAAUAUGGGAGAGGUAGAUGGAAUUUCUGGUGUAGGGGUAAAAUCCGUAGAGAUCAGAAGGAAUACCGAUUGCGAAGGCGAUCUACUGGAACAUUAUUGACGCUGAGAUGCGAAAGCGUGGGGAGCAAACAGGAUUAGAUACCCUGGUAGUCCACGCCCUAAACGAUGCACACUAGUUGUUGCUAUGCUAGACAUAGCAGUAAUGCAGUUAACACAUUAAGUGUGCCGCCUGGGGAGUACGGUCGCAAGAUUA
rnacentral:rRNA from 1 species